rnacentral:rRNA from 1 species
GUGAGGAAUUUUCCGCAAUGGGCGAAAGCCUGACGGAGCAAUGCCGCGUGAAGGAUGAAGGCCUAUGGGUUGUAAACUUCUUUUCUCAGAAAAGAAUUAUGACGGUAUCUGAGGAAUGCAUCGGCUAACUCUGUGCCAGCAGCCGCGGUAAGACAGAGGAUGCAAGCGUUAUCCGGAAUGAUUGGGCGUAAAGCGUCUGUAGGUUGUUUAAAAAGUAUUCUGUCAAAGAUUAGGGCUUAACCCUAGAUAGGCAGAAUAAACUUUUAAGCUAGAGUUUGGUAGAGGCAGAGGGAAUUCCCGGUGGAGCGGUGAAAUGCGUAGAUAUCGGGAGGAACACCAAAGGCGAAGGCACUCUGCUGGGCCAAUACUAACACUGAGAGACGAAAGCGAGGGGAGCAAAUGGGAUUAGAUACCCGAGUAGUCC